rnacentral:rRNA from 1 species
AGCGAACGCUGGCGGCAGGCUUAACACAUGCAAGUCGAGCGGGCACUUUCGGGUGUCAGCGGCGGACGGGUGAGUAACGCGUGGGAACGUGCCCUCUGGUUCGGAAUAACUCAGGGAAACUUGAGCUAAUACCGGAUACGCCCUUUUGGGGAAAGGCUUGCUGCCGGAGGAUCGGCCCGCGUCUGAUUAGCUAGUUGGUGAGGUAACGGCUCACCAAGGCGACGAUCAGUAGCUGGUCUGAGAGGAUGAUCAGCCACACUGGGACUGAGACACGGCCCAGACUCCUACGGGAGGCAGCAGUGGAGAAUAUUAGACAAUGGGCGCAAGCCUGAUCCAGCCAUGCCGCGUGAGUGAUGAAGGCCUUAGGGUUGUAAAGCUCUUUUAUCCGGGACGAUAAUGACGGUACCGGAGGAAUAAGCCCCGGCUAACUUCGUG